CUAGGCUGUAAUAUUAGGUAAAAUCUAAUUUCAGUUUGGUUAUCACAUAGCGUUCAUUUCCCUAAGGGAGGAGAAAAAAUUAAAUUUGUAAGCUUAAGAUUCCAGCUGAAGUACUCAAGAAUCCUGUUUCUCUGACAGAGGAAAGGAACAACAACUUGACUGGACACAUCCUAACCCAACCAUACGCUGUGUUACUUCCUCCACUGCGCCACACACAGCUAUUAUUCUAAGCUCUCUUAUUCAAACCCUUAAGGAUUUGUAAGAACUUGGAAAGAGAAAGUGACUUCAGACAGUUGCUGUGAGUAGUAAUUAAUUCCAGUGAUCAGUGUGAGCUUGCGUAUGGGCAUUUAUGAAAUGAUGUUAGAUUAUGAAAUGCCAAGUGCCCCUCCUAUUCUAGAUGUGAAUUUAGUGAGUGCUGUUGUACAGGAGAAAGGGGCUAAUACAGACCUUUCUUUUUGGGCCAAGGGUGGCUGCUCUGCACCAAAGUUGCUAUUUUUUUAGUUGUUGUUUAGCAAGUCCUACUGUUAAAAACUCAGUCAAUGGCAGCCAGGCCGGUGUAGCAUUGUUGGCAUUGAGUUAGAUCCAAGCACCAAUUGAAUCUCUUGGUUCUCUGAUUGAAGACUAGAUAUGCCUAUCACAUACUGCUCCCAAUCACAUACACACAACCCUCAAUGUACAACAACCUAUUAUUAAAAAAGUGUUAGAAAAUGAUCAUUUACAUAACUCAAAUAUCCUACAGUAUAUUGGCUAAAUGAUUGUAUAGCUAUUCAGUAGAAUGUUAUUUAGCCAUUAACAGACAUGUUAUAGGAACAUAAUUGAUGACUUGGUCAAAUAUACAUUACGUAUUGUUAAAUUAAGAGUAGGUUAAGGCUGGGUAUAGUGGCUCACGCCUGUAAUCCCAGCACUUUGGGAGACUGAGGCAGGUGGAUCAUGAGGUCAGGAAAUUGAGGCCAUCCUGGCCAACAUGGUGAAAUCCCGUC
rnacentral:lncRNA from 10 species